CAACGAAGAAGGUCCAAGGUCUAGAAGAGGAAAUAAACACCCCUUUAGAUACAAGCUUACAAAUAUCUGAUCCAAUCAAAGAAUCUUCGAAGAGAAAACAAGAGAAUCACCAUGACAUUCAGAAACAGAAACAGGGCCCCACCUCUGCACCAGCUGCCCAGUCUUCCUCAUUGAAUGAAAGACAGUUAAACCUGGUCAUGAACCCUUAGGUCACUUAAAAACCUCCAGAAUUGCUACUUCUGCUGCUCCCAUCAGUAUGGGUUGGUUCACAUUUCAACUGGAGAUCUUCUUCGAGCUCAAGUAUCAUCUGGCACAGAGAUUGGAAACAAAGCAAAAGAAUAUAUGGAGAGUGGAUAUGGUGAGAUCUCGAUUAUCACAUGUAGAUGCACAAGAAAAAGGGUGGCUUCUUGAUGGGUACCCACGGAGUUCCACCCAAGCACAAAGUCUGGAACAAAUGAAUAUUAGACCAGACAUAUACAUCGUUUUAGAUGUUCUUGAUGAAAUUCUAAUUGACAGAUGUGUCGGAAGGAGGCUUGAUCCGGUAACUGGGAAAAUUUACCAUCUUAAAAAUUUCCCUCCAGAGUCAGAUGAAAUAAGGGCAAGACUUAUAACACGGUCUGAUGACACUGCCGAAAAAGUGAAAUCACGGCUAGAAACUUACAAAGAAAAUGCUGAAGCUAUCUUGUCAACAUAUGUCGACAUAUUGACUAAGAUUGACGGAAACCGUCCAAAAGUAGUAGUUUUUGAGGAAAUAGACUCUCUGCUACUGCAAGUCCAGAAGGAUAAACUAAAGGCGGAAAAUUUAGGGAUACCAGUCCGUGAAAACAAUAGCAGCUCAAAUUUGGUGUCUUCUAGAGAGUGCCAGGAUAGUUGGAAAGGAAUCCCUACUCGGUUAAAUAACAUUCCUCAUUCUAGAGAAAUAAGGAAAUAUUUCUAUGAUGAUGUGCUAGCAGCUACUCAAAGGGCUAUAAAUGAUGGAAGAGUCAGAUUGAAGGUUGAGAUAAGCAUUCCAGAGCUUAACCCAGAAAUGGAUGUCUAUCGAAUCGGUACUUUAAUGGAACUUGUGCGAGUUCUUGCGCUCUCAUUUGCUGAUGAUGGAAAACGAGUUAAGGUUUGUGUUCAAGGAUCUAUGGGAGAGGGUGCCCUUGCUGGAAUGCCAUUACAGCUGGCUGGAACUCGAAAGAUUUUGGAGUUCAUGGACUGGGGGGAUUACGGUGCUAAGGGGACCUUUCUCAACAUUGGUUCUAUAGGUGCCAAAGAUGUUGAUGAACAGGAUGACAUGUUUAUCCUAGUUGCUCCUCAAAAUGCUGUUGGGAAUUGUAUUAUUGAUGAUCUAAAAGCUAUGACUGAUUCUGCUGGUAACCGCCCUGUCAUUCUUAUUAAUCCUCGGCUAAAGGAUCUGCCUGCGUCUAGCGGCAUCAUGCAAACAAUGGGAAGGGACAAGAGAUUGGAGUAUGCAGCGUCAUUCCAGAGCUGCUAUUCUUUCAGGCUUCUUUAUUAUGCAGGCACACAAUAUCCGAUUAUGGGUGCUCUCAGGAUGGCUUACCCAUACCAGUAUGAAGUUUACAAGAGGAUUGAUGAACCUUCCGGGAAAGAGAAGUAUAUCAUCCUAGCCACAUUCUCUGAAAAUCCUGAUGUUGAUGAAAUUAAUGAUGCAUUCCAAGGAAAGUCAAGAAACCAAGAAAAGAAAGCCUCUGGAAUCUGGGGUUUCUUAAGCGGCAUCCUCUGAAUAUGGAAGGUAUUACAUAAUUUUUUAGAGGUUUCGUGUGCGGGCCUAUGUCAUAAGAUAUUUCAGGGUGGAUGUCUAGCUUGUCAUCAGAUCUUACGUUCUCGAGGAGCUUGAGAUAUCAAGAGCACAACACGUGAACAGUUUCCCCUAUAAAUUCUGCGUUGUCUUUUUAUCCUUUAAUGCAUAUUAGCUUAAAGCCUUACCAAAUUUUAGUCAACUUGCUUAUAACUAUAAUUGUAUCCCUUUCCAGGGCUUUACAUGAACUGGUCCAUGAAUAUUGUCUGUAUCAACUGUAGUGACAUAAACAAACCAUACUAGUUUCAGGCAAUAGUCAAUGCAGGCUUAAAUUGGCUUAAAA